rnacentral:rRNA from 1 species
AGUGAACGCUGGCGGUAGGCCUAACACAUGCAAGUCGAACGGCAGCACAGUAAGAGCUUGCUCUUACGGGUGGCGAGUGGCGGACGGGUGAGGAAUACAUCGGAAUCUACUUUUUCGUGGGGGAUAACGUAGGGAAACUUACGCUAAUACCGCAUACGACCUACGGGUGAAAGCAGGGGAUCAUCGGACCUUGCGCGAUUGAAUGAGCCGAUGUCGGAUUAGCUAGUUGGCGGGGUAAAGGCCCACCAAGGCGACGAUCCGUAGCUGGUCUGAGAGGAUGAUCAGCAACACUGGAACUGAGACACGGUCCAGACUCCUACGGGAGGCAGCAGUGGGGAAUAUUGGACAAUGGGCGCAAGCCUGAUCCAGCCAUACCGCGUGGGUGAAGAAGGCCUUCGGGUUGUAAAGCCCUUUUGUUGGGAAAGAAAAGCAGCAGGUUAAUACCCCGCUGUUCUGACGGUACCCAAAGAAUAAGCACCGGCUAACUUCGU